rnacentral:rRNA from 1 species
CUAAGAAUCUUCCGCAAUGGGCGAAAGCCUGACGGAGCGAUGCCGCGUGAUCGAUGAAGGUCGAGAGAUUGUAAAGAUCUUUUCUCCAUGAGGAAUAAGCCUAGGAGGGAAUGCCUAGGUGAUGACGUUAGUGGAGGAAUAAGCCCCGGCUAAUUACGUGCCAGCAGCCGCGGUAACACGUAAGGGGCGAGCGUUGUUCGGAAUUAUUGGGCGUAAAGGGCACGCAGGCGGCCUGACAAGUCUGGUGUGAAAGAUCCGGGCUCAACUCGGAGAACGCGCUGGAAACUGUCAAGCUAGAGUAUUGGAGGGGGAGUCGGAAUUCCUAGUGUAGGGGUGAAAUCUGUUGAUAUUAGGAAGAACACCGGUGGCGAAGGCGGACUCCUGGCUGAAUACUGACGCUGAGGUGCGAAAGCAUAGGGAGCAAAC